GGGCCCGGUGACGGUAUGCUUUUAAUGGCGGCGUUGAUAGCGAAGCAUCAUCCAGCGCUGUCGACCACCACCACCGCUGCCAGCAAUAACCACCGGAACGGUGAGAGUUCGGUGGUGGAGAGACGAUCGUUCACUGCAGUCUCCCGAAGGCUUGGGCCUCCUACUGCCACCCGACGCUGGUCCUCCGAUCCUAAAAGGCCUCGAGGCAGCGUGCUGAAAUGUCGGGAAAAGAAGAUUCGCAGGACGCGUCGGAGCAGGAUGACACUCAAGAUGAGACCACGGAAACAGCGGAAGUCAGCCAUGAGGUAGCGAGCACGAUAGAGAAAUCGGAUAGCUCGGAUAGCUUGUCAGAAAAAUCGUCGAAAGGAUCGGAAGAGGAGCGAGAGGAAAUUAAGGAGGAGGAAGGAGCAGAAAUAAAGGAGAAGGAAGGGGAAGAAAUAAAGGAGAAAAAACGAGAGGAAAUUAAAGAGGUAGAAGCGAGGGAAAGGCUGAGUUGCGAAGAGACACAAAAGGAAGAAACGUCGGCCCCAGAGCUGGCGACCGUCACGAGAAGCGCGUCGUCAGACGACGGCGUGCCGGUGUCGGGGGUAGCCGCGAGGCAGGCAGAACCGGGUACAGGGGUGCCAUUGGCAACCACCGCCAACGUCGGAGACGGAGCACAGCGUUGCGUCAGCGGUGGUGCCAGCGUGGCAGUCGGUGAGUGGAAUUCAUUGCCGGUACUGGUAGAACGUCUGCGCGAGGCACUCGAGUUGUCCCUGGCAGCGAGUUGCCGGCGAGGCAGCGACGAGCCGACGGCGACGUCGCUCACCGUGCCCGGCGUCGGCGUCGGCACCGACGGGGUCGGCGAUCGAUCCUGCGCGCGCCGUUCUAUGGAAGAGGCGUUGCUCGGCAGCGACCACGGUUGCGACCACGACGUGCCCGUAUCGAGGAAGGACGAGCUCAAGUUCCUGGAAGAUCUACUGCUGUUGGACAUUCAGACCGCGCUCUCCCGUUUGCGCGAGACGCUCGAGCGCACGGACGUCGCGACGCUCGCCAAGUACGGCGGAGUGUCUGAUCCCACGAGUAAGCUUCACUCCUGCGUUUGGUCUCGAGCCUGCUAUCGCGACUGCAGGUACCGGUAGAAGAGAGGGAAUCGGGUGCUAACGAGAGCGACAAGACGAUCGACGUUACGGCACAAAGCGGCGGCGGCGGAGGCUGCGGUGCGUCACCCGGACGAAGACGGCGCCCCGUCAGGCACACCAUCGGCGUCUCCGCCGAGGAGAUCGCACGCGCGAGGAGACAGCUAGAGGAGAGCAGUGCGGAUUUAGCGAGAUUGAACAAUCAGGUGUUCUCGGUUGAACGAUCCGAACCCCUGCUGCCUGUAUCGCGUAACGUGACGAACAGCGAGAGACCGCAAGUGGAGGAGAUCCACGAUAAGUACACGAAGGACGUAAUCAAUCAACGUCAGUCAUUGCGCGAUAAGAAUAAGGACACUAGUGUAUAUCGGCCGCUGGUUCCGCCGCAGAUCGGUUACGUGGAUCGGCCGGCGGUCGCAUCUAGAACGGCGGAUGAUUCAAAUGCACUUCAGAUUCGACAACGGGAAGUUGUCGAUGGUUACCAGGACAAGGUGAACGACGACGAGGAAGCUGCGAUCAAGAGGGCGAGCGAGGAGCAGAGUCGGGUGACGAAACUCGCGGCAGCGCUUCGGCAACGCGCAGAGUUGAUCACCGCCGGCAAGUGCAACAACGCCAGUAACAAGUUUGCGGUAAAAAAAUCCAAGAUCAAGCGCGCCAACACCAUCGACAUACCGAGCUAUCUGAAGCUACAGGCCGACAGUAUCGGUUACGACAAUCUCGGGUGCGCGGUGCUACGACGACCCAUCAACGUGGGCGAUAAAAUUACCGCGAACGCGUCCAAUCUCAUUGUGCCGUCGUUCCAGGCCAAAACGGAGAAUGACAAAAAGUUCUUAGCGCUGAUCAAUCGGAAUAACGAAACAAAACAGGCGUACAACGCCGCGCCCGCCUUUGUCAAAUCUCUCGGCUACACCAAGACGGCGGACAUGUCGCAAACGAAAGAGAAUUGGAAUAGCCGAUUCUCGAACAUCAAGACUGCCUUCGAUAAGCCUUCGUCCGUUGUGAAUGAAGCUGACAAGUUGUCACCGAGGCUGCAAAAUGUUGCCAAACGUUUCAUGGAUACGCCAUCAACGUCUCCACAAAUUCCGGUGAACAAGAAGACGUCGACAGGUGUCAACGCGGCACAUAAUGGCUUCUCGUUUGCAAACGCAAACGUGCCGCAGUCGGACGCGGGCUUCAAACACGCGCCUUCAUCGUUGUUUCGGAAAAUCGAGAAGCCAAACACACCGCAUACACCAAAGUCCCCGACCGCCCAUUGGCAGAAGGAUAAUGCGCCAUCAUCCGGAAAUUCCUUACGCGAAAAAGCCAAGAAGUUUGACCGAGACAUCAAUCAAUCCCAAUCGUUCAAUAUGAGCGAGAACACCCAGAAAUCCGUCUUCCCUCGACCACCGUGGAUCGAGCAUGAAAGAAACGAAGGUAAAUCAAACAAGAUGGUCACGGAGAACGGACGACUCGAUUACCGGCUGUUCUGCAAGCAGUUUGCGCCCUUUAUUGGCAAGAACGUCGCCCCGGAAACCAAAAGCAUCGAGGAUUCUCGCAAGCGUAAUGAAUACUCGAACGCUGCUCAUCGUAAGAACUUGGCGCCGUUGAAUGAGAACCUUGGCGUAGUGGACGGAAAAAUUUCCUUUAGGAUGUUCUCUGAGAACAAACCGCAGGUACAAUAUCGUUCAAAUGAGCCGGGUCGCGCGGUUGAGGAACCAGUUCGAAAUAAAUUUGAUCUUCGCAGCGAGAAGAAUGUUUUUGAACCUCUAGCCACGUUGCACAAUGAUAAAGACUUGUUCGGAACUGCAUUCGUGGGAAACGCACCGAUCGAUGCGAUGCUCAAAGGUAGCUCGUCCGUAGCCAUACAGACGGGGAUCAAUGACGAUUGUCAUCCUGAGGAGGCACGAGAGUUUCGAGUGACUCCUAGGAUCGCAAAAGGGCCACCGACUGCGUACAACAAUGUGUCUGUUCAAACUCACAACGAGCCAAACGUAGAAGUCAAAGAACAUUGGACACCUCAAUAUAAUACCGUUCUGACAUCAAACUCAAAUUAUCAUCCUGUCGGGGAUCUAAGCCAUUUCAUCCUUGACCACAAUCGGAAUUAUAAUACCGUAACGACUGAUAUCGCUUCGAAAAAUGAAGCUCUGCCCUUAGCAAAUAAGAAUUCAUGUGAUCUUAUCAAAGAGGACACUCUUUGCUUGCCGUAUUCGACGGAGGAGGUUCCUUUUCAGACGAUUUCUAGUCAUCAGUCACCUGAACCGGUUUUCCAAACGAGUCCACGAUGUGAAAAUUAUUUUUCACCUAAAUCGAUGAUUGAUAAUCGAUCGCAACUGUAUCCGACUUAUAUCCCGUACAUUAAACCUAAUGAAGAUUCGUUCGAGGAUCGGCUGCCAAGCGUGUCGUAUGAAAUUGAUAAGGAAGAUCGCCUGCGUACGAGUGACGGCAUUUUGCCAGAAGAACAGAAUAUUCAAAAUCAAGAUAUCAGCGUAGACACCGGCGUAGUCACGCGAUACACUUGCGCUAUCGCGACUGUCGCAUCGGACGUUCCAGCGAUGCAGAUAGACGGGAUCAGAUCAGACUCUGGAACAUCGCCAUCGUCUUCCUUAUCACCCUCACAGCUCUGGCCACAUCCCAAAUCAACUGAUAACGAGACAACCGAAGACGAAAUACGUCGACAUAACAUGCUACAGCAAAGCCUGGUUCGUCAACUGCAAAAUGAACGAACAAUGCUAAACGAUCUUCACGUACCUGUGGUCAACCAGUCUAGUAAUUUUAAUCAGUCUGACAAUUUUCAUAAAUCUAACAGCUUUAGUCCACCUUUAAGACUUCAACCGCCCGAAGUGCCGAAAAGACCGGAAUUGCCAAAAAAACCGGAGCCACCAAAAAGAUCAGAACGAUCAAAGAGAUUGGAACCGCCGAGGAAGUUGGAACCACCCAGAAAAUUAGAGACACCGAGAAAGUUGGAAUCACCAAAAAGAUUAGAGAUACCGAGAAAGUUGGAGCCGCCGAAGAAAUUGGAGCCAUCGAAAAGGUUAGAGCCACCGACGGUUGUCACUGGUCUACUUUCAGUUACACCAUCCUCCGGAUUUGGCGCAAAAAAUCGGAUCACCGCUCUCAGAGAACAGUACGAGCAACCGGGUGGCCAGUCGCGACCCAUGCAAAAGGAAUGCUCGCCAAUCUCGAGCACGAUGGAUUCUAGCGACGAGUAUCUUGUAUCUUGCACCAAUAGGCCAUCCAGAUCCAUCGUCCUAUCAAAGUCUGAGUCAUGGCAUCAAUUAGCACUCUCGAAAAGCCAUCAUGUUUCGUCCCACCCGGCACAGAGUAACUUGCCGUCGCAACCCCUCGCUAGCAGCGGGUCCUACCUUCCGAAACCGCCAAAACCAAAAUCGCCAUCGUCCUUCAAGAUGAAGAAGCAGUAUGAGGCGUCUUCAGACAGCGUAAAAAAAAUGGAGGAUAAAAUUCGCAGAUACUUUGAUAAUCCAAACGACGGCGUCGCGGAGUCGAAGGACUCCAAAGGUAGACGUUUCUCAUCGCGUGACUCGACGAAAAAGGGUCUUGUCAGUCUAUCUAGGAGUCGCACUAUGCCGGGGAUAUGCGACGAGAGUCUACACCUGACAAUCCCGGCGGUGCCACAAAUUCCCGUGUCAAAUCUCAACACUGCCGACGUGGAGAAGGUGUUUGAUGAUAUUUUCGAGGAGGCUACCAGGACUGAAGAUCAUCGUUUCUGAUCGACCAAUCUUCGUUGCGUCGUAAAAGUGUCGGCGUGACAUGCAUACUUGGAGGACUUGAUGACGGUAAAAGUGACGUCUGUUUGGAAUUUUUUGCGAGUGCUCUUUGCGCGAUAGCCAGCAAUACUUUGUGCCAUGUUAAACAUCGUGAUAAAAAUACGAUUCUACGAUCACCGCUAAUAUUGCUACGGACAUGUUACGUAAUUGGCCGACAAGGUGGAUCGUUAAACUGUGAUCUUGCCCAUUUUGAUUCACAUGACCUGCCGUCAACAGCUGUCAUCCAGGACCACGGAUCGUCGCGCAUAUAGCCGGUUAAUUCUAAUCAGACCGUUUAUGUUAGAAGUUUGCAUAUGAUUAUUGUUGUUUACCUGUUUUCAUAAGACAGCUUCUGUAAACAUUAACUGUUCAAGAUUGACUGGAAUUUAACUGUUCCUCCACUUCUCUCCAAA